rnacentral:rRNA from 1 species
GACGAACGCUGGCGGCGUGCUUAACACAUGCAAGUCGAACGGUAAGGCCCUUCGGGGUACACGAGUGGCGAACGGGUGAGUAACACGUGGGUGAUCUGCCCUGCACUUCGGGAUAAGCCUGGGAAACUGGGUCUAAUACCGGAUAGGACCACUGCCUGCAUGGGGGGUGGUGGAAAGCUUUUGUGGUGUGGGAUGGGCUCGCGGCCUAUCAGCUUGUUGGUGGGGUGAUGGCCUACCAAGGCGACGACGGGUAGCCGGCCUGAGAGGGUGACCGGCCACACUGGGACUGAGAUACGGCACAGACUCCUACGGGAGGCAGCAGUGGGGAAUAUUGCACAAUGGGCGCAAGCCUGAUGCAGCGACGCCGCGUGAGGGAUGACGGCCUUCGGGUUGUAAACCUCUUUCAGCACCGACGAAGCGUAAGUGACGGUAGGUGCAGAAGAAGGACCGGCCAACUACGUGCCAGCAGCCGCAGUAA